UCCCUAGUAGCUCAGAUGGUAAAGUGUCUGCCUACAAUGCAGGAGACCUGGGCUCGAUCCCUGGGUUGGGAA
rnacentral:tRNA from 1 species